rnacentral:rRNA from 1 species
GACGAACGCUGGCGGCGUGCUUAACACAUGCAAGUCGAGCGAUGAAGCACCUUCGGGUGUGAAUUAGCGGCGAACGGGUGAGGAACACGUGAGAAAUCUGCCUUCAACUCUGGGAUAACUCCGUGAAAACGGGGCUAAUACCGGAUAUGAAACCUGCGGGCAUCCGCGGGUUUGGAAAGUUUUUCGGUUGAAGAUGAUCUCGCGGCCUAUCAGCUCGUUGGUGAGGUAAUGGCUCACCAAGGCGACGACGGGUAGCCGGCCUGAGAGGGCGACCGGCGACACUGGGACUGAGACACGGCCCAGACUCCUACGGGAGGCAGCAGUGGGGAAUAUUGGGCAAUGGAGGAAAUUCUGACCCAGCGACGCCGCGUGCGGGAUGAAGGCCUUCGGGUUGUAAACCGCUUUCAGCAGGGAAGAAGCGAAAGUGACGGUACCUGCAGAAGAAGCACCGGCUAACUAUGUGCCAGCCGCCGCUGUAAGAC